UCUAAUAGUGUCACAUAAAAGCUAAGAGG
rnacentral:piRNA from 1 species